UACGUAGGGUGCAAGCGUUAAUCGGAAUUACUGGGCGUAAAGCGUGCGCAGGCGGUUGCGUAAGUCAGAUGUGAAAUCCCCGGGCUCAACCUGGGAAUUGCAUUUGAGACUGCACGGCUAGAGUGUGUCAGAGGGGGGUAGAAUUCCACGUGUAGCAGUGAAAUGCGUAGAGAUGUGGAGGAAUACCGAUGGCGAAGGCAGCCCCCUGGGAUAACACUGACGCUCAUGCACGAAAGCGUGGGGAGCAAACAGG
rnacentral:rRNA from 1 species